rnacentral:rRNA from 1 species
AGCAGCCGCGGUAAUUCCAGCUCCAAUAGCGUAUAUUAAAGUUGUUGCAGUUAAAAAGCUCGUAGUUGAAUUUCGGGGUCAUCAGGUUGGUCGUGCCUCUGGUAUGUACUGAUUUCGAUGGUCCCUCCUUCUUGAAGAGCCGUAAUGCCAUUAAUUUGGUGUUGCGGGGAAUCAGGACUGUUACUUUGAAAAAAUUAGAGUGUUUAAAGCAGGCAAUCGCUUGAAUACAUUAGCAUGGAAUAAUGAAAUAGGACGUUCGAUCCUAUUUUGUUGGUUUCUAGGAUUGACGUAAUGAUUAAUAGGGAUAGUUGGGGGCAUUAGUAUUCAAUUGUCAGAGGUGAAAUUCUUGGAUUUAUUGAAGACUAACUACUGCGAAAGCAUUUGCCAAGGAUGUUUUCAUUAAUCAAGAACGAAAGUUAGGGGAUCGAAGACGAUCAGAUACCGUCGUAGUCUUAACCAUAAACUAUGCCGACUAGGGAUCGGAUGAUGUUAAUUUUUUAAUGACUCA